GACGAACGCUGGCGGCGUGCUUAACACAUGCAAGUCGAACGCUGAAGCUCAGCUUUUGUUGGGUGGAUGAGUGGCGAACGGGUGAGUAACACGUGAGUAACCUGCCCCCUUCUUUGGGAUAACGCCCGGAAACGGGUGCUAAUACUGGAUAUUCACUGGUCUUCGCAUGGGGGUUGGUGGAAAGGGUUUUUCUGGUGGGGGAUGGGCUCGCGGCCUAUCAGCUUGUUGGUGGGGUGAUGGCCUACCAAGGCUUUGACGGGUAGCCGGCCUGAGAGGGUGACCGGCCACAUUGGGACUGAGAUACGGCCCAGACUCCUACGGGAGGCAGCAGUGGGGAAUAUUGCACAAUGGGCGCAAGCCUGAUGCAGCGACGCCGCGUGAGGGAUGGAGGCCUUCGGGUUGUGAACCUCUUUCGCUCAUGGUCAAGCCGCAACAAUGGUUGUGGUGAGGGUAGUGGGUAAAGAAGCGCCGGCUAACUACGUG
rnacentral:rRNA from 1 species